CGAAGUAGAAGGAAGUAGUCCUAUAGAAUUUAAGAAACUGAGCAUUUAAGUUUAUAACCAUAGCAGAGUGAUUAAUGAAAAAAUUUUUUCAUGAGAAUCACAUAUGGACUCGAGCUGAUUGAAUCUAUUAUAUGAUCAAUGAUGAGGUUUGAUGAUUCAUCCAUGAUCUGUCAUCUGGUCGGGACUCACGAUAGAGAGACUGUAUCAUACGUUAACUGCACCUAGAGGUUCGUCAUCUUUUAUACUGCUGGGUUGCUACUACAUAUUGCUAGGUGGCACUGGUGGAUU
rnacentral:lncRNA from 1 species